GGGCCUGUAGCUCAGUUGGUAGAGCAGUCGACUCUUAAUCGACUUGUCCAAGGUUCGAGUCCUUGCAGGCCCACCA
rnacentral:tRNA from 1 species